ACGGGACGGUCUCCACCUUGACUCCUCCAUCUGGCCCAAACCCCGACAGCUCCAGGUUUGAGACCCUCCUGCAGACCCCAGCACCAUACCUGGGAGCAAGGUGAGCGGCGGGCGGAGGAUGCACCGGGAUGGAAAAUGUGUGGAGCAGAGAGGGAUUGUCCACCCACCAGCCCAACUCCCCUGUUUAUCAGGAAGAACUUAUUAGUUUGAAUUACAAACAACAGAAGUAGAAAACUCCACAAGGAAAAAUCUCAGCUGGUGAAGAAGCUCAGGAGCUCACAGAAGUGUGAUGAAGUAAUCAAACCAUCGCCAUCGGCUAAGGAAACCGAGGGGUGCAGAGCUGAUGUCGCUUGGCCCGCAAGCCACGGAGAGUGGGAGCAAGAGGAGGUUUGGUCAGGCUGCCUCUGCCCCUGUCUUUCUCGGCCCACAGGCUCCAAGCAGGCAGGACCAGACCGCAGCUUCCAGGUGCUGGGAUCCGGGGACCACACCUUCACCUGCUGCUCUCUUGAAGGAAAAACAAAUAUCUGCCUCUGGCAGGUAAAAAAAAAAUAAAAGGAGUGCGUCUCAUGCUGUUUGUGAUAGCUGCUACACAGAGAAAGACUAAUUUUGGAAACCGAUUAUUAAAAAAUAUAUUCACUCUGAACGACGCAAUCAAUCAAACCUUCAAGAUGCAGGUUCAGCCGGUGCCGUGGAACUCCCAGGCAACACACGGCUCCUUCCCAGGCUGCUGUCUGGCCCGGCCAGGCCUCCUUCCCACUGGGACUGUCCCAGCUCUGCCCUGGGGACAUUGGCCUCCGGCCUGCCCAGGCUGCAGUGAGGAUGGAGAGGGAAGAGGUCGGGGCUCCCGAUUGCUGACUGGUCAGGAGGCAGCUGCGGAGUCAGGAUUGAAGCCGCAUCGGCUCCCAUGCCAUGAAGUGGACAAAGUGGAC
rnacentral:lncRNA from 1 species